rfam:Schistosoma curassoni strain Dakar, Senegal genome assembly, scaffold: SCTD_contig0000342
AUUCAGCUGAUCAGUCACAAAUAGGACGAAAUGCGUGUGCUGGAU